CGUACGCAAAUCUUUUUCAUUACCUGAGAUCAGCCACUUUUGUCAUUCUUUUGUUACAGAUAAAAAAGUCCCCCAUUCCAGAGAAUUGGUAAGACUCUGAGGCUGUUUCCGAAGUUGUAGUCCACUGUUCAUUUUUCAGCAGCCGUGAAGGAUUGUUUCCUUCUUCAAAGCCAAGCUAUAACGUAAAAGUCAACAACAAAUCUGGCAGAUGAAGGCUGUCUGAGUGUUUCCAAAACAGCUGGCACAGUCAAAAGGAGAUUGCUAUUUGCAGACAGAGACUGUCUUAGUUCAGGUGGCUGGAUAGCAGGUAGCAAAUAAUAGUCAGAGACUACAGAACAAGGGACAAUCAAAAAUAGCUCUGUUGGACUGUUUUGGAUGGGAACGGUAGAAUUUCCAGGGCAGGCUUUUCCAUCUUAAGGAAACUUUCCAGAGGUUAGGCCGCAAGUAUGGCAGUAUUAUGCACUGCACUGAUAAAGACAUUUGUAGCAUUGAUUUCCACACACUUCAAAGACUAUUUCCUUCUUCUCCUGAAUUAACUGGUUUUAAACAAAUAUGACCCAUAGCCUUCCUAUCUAUUAAGAUUUGGAAAAGCUUGGUUCCUCUUUGAGAUCCUGGCUCAUAUACACACAUGGACAAAUGUGUUGGUACCCCUCCACAAAAAAAGAAGAACCCACAAUUGUCUCUGAAAUAACUUGAAACUGACAAACGUAAUUGGCACCCAUCAUUGUUUAUUCCGCAUUUAACAAAAAUCAGACUUUGCUUUAGAGUUUUGAUGCAACAGAAUAUUCCAAAUAACACAAAUGAAAAUGGCAUGGACAAAAAUGAUGGGACCCUUAACCUAAUAUUUUGUUGCACAACCUUUAGAGGCAAUCACUGCAAACAAGCGAUUCCUGUAGCUCUCAAUGAGACUUCUGCGCCUGUCAACAGGUAGUUUGGCCCACUCUUCCUGAGCAAACUGCUCCAGCUGUGUCAGGUUUGAAGGGUGCCUUCUCCAGACUGCAUGUUUCAGUUCGUUCCAUAGAUGUUCAAUAGGAUUCAAAUCAGGGCUCACAGAAGGCCACUUCAGAAUAGUCCAAUGUUUUGUCCUUAGCCAUUCUUGGGUGCUUUUAGCUGUGUGUUAUGGUCAUUAUCCUGUUGGAGGAUCCAUGACCUGCGACUGAGACAGAGUUUUCUGACACUGGGCAGUACUUUUUGCUCCAGAAUGUCUUGAUAGUCUUGAGAUUUCAUUGUUCCUUGCACACUCAAGACACCCCAUGCCAGACACAGCAAAGCAGCCCCAAAAUAUAACUGAGUCUCUUUUCAUGUUUCACAGUAGGUAUGGUGUUCUUUUCUUGGAAAGCUUCAUUUUUUCAUCUGUGGACAUAGAGCUGAUGUGACUUGCCAAAAAGCUCCAGUUUUAUAAUUAAAAAGCCAGACUGGAAUUUGCUAAAAUGCAUAUUGACAAGCCACAAUGAGAAUGUCCUUUGGACAGAUGAGACAAAACUGGAGCUUUUUGGCAAGUCACAUCAGCUCUAUGUCACAUCAGCCUUUUUUCGUGGAGGGGUACCAACACAUUUGUCCACGUGUGUACAGAGCAAGGAAGUACUAGUGCAGUGAGAAAGCAGCUUAACAGAACCUUCUAAAUAAGUGCACUAGUGCAGCAGGGAAGUGGCGAUUUUUUUUCAUCCGCCCCUUCCUCAGGGCUGCACAACCCUCAAGGACAUAUUUUUGGGUGGCUCAGAGGGCUUCCUGGUGAAGGGUAACACAUCAAAAAAGCAUUUAUUUAUAGUUAGUUAGUUAGUUAGUUAUUUCAAUGUAUAUAUUCAAUUUAUUGAAAGAUAUUGGAACAGAAAAAUAUAUUAGAACAUACAGUAUACACAAUGCAUAUUAUACAAAAUCAAUGCACAGCACAAGAAACUGUUACUUUUUAAUUUUAAAGGUGCUUUUGUAUUUUCUUGCAUUCAUAUUCUUUGCAAAUAGGGAAACCAAGAUUCUUAAAGUGUGCAACUCCAAUAUCAGCUGGAGUGCUUUUUGGAAGGAACCUUGUAAUCAACUGAGCAUUUUUACCUGUAACUAAAAGCUGAGAAAGCCUCAGAUGUAAACUGUCUGUAGUAUUUUGAAUAAAAUUUAUUUUUUCAUUUUGUUCUUUGCACAUUUUAA